rnacentral:rRNA from 1 species
AUUGAACGCUGGCGGCAGGCCUAACACAUGCAAGUCGAGCGGCAGCGGAAAGUAGCUUGCUACUUUGCCGGCGAGCGGCGGACGGGUGAGUAAUGUCUGGGAAACUGCCUGAUGGAGGGGGAUAACUACUGGAAACGGUAGCUAAUACCGCAUAACGUCGCAAGACCAAAGAGGGGGACCUUCGGGCCUCUUGCCAUCAGAUGUGCCCAGAUGGGAUUAGCUAGUAGGUGGGGUAAUGGCUCACCUAGGCGACGAUCUCUAGCUGGUCUGAGAGGAUGACAAGCAAAGCUGGAACUGGAACACGGUCCAGACUCCUACGGGAGGCAGCAGUGAGGAAUAUUGCACAAUGGGCGCAAGCCUGAUGCAGCCAUGCCGCGUGUAUGAAGAAGGCCUUCGGGUUGUAAAGUACUUUCAGCGGGGAGGAAGGUGUUGAGGUUAAUAACCUCAGCAAUUGACGUUACCCGCAGAAGAAGCACCGGCUAACUCCGUGCCAGCCGCCGCCGCGGUAA